rnacentral:rRNA from 1 species
CACGUAGGGUGCAAGCGUUGUCCGGAAUUAUUGGGCGUAAAGAGCUUGUAGGCGGUUUGUCGCGUCUGCUGUGAAAUUUCGGGGCUCAACCCCGAACUUGCAGUGGGUACGGGCAGACUAGAGUGUGGUAGGGGAGACUGGAAUUCCUGGUGUAGCGGUGGAAUGCGCAGAUAUCAGGAGGAACACCGAUGGCGAAGGCAGGUCUCUGGGCCAUUACUGACACUGAGAAGCGAAAGCAUGGGGAGCGAACAGG